ACAAGUUUGUGGGGAUUGCAUGUGAGUAGAGGGUUUUGAUCAACAUCACGAUAAAUAGUACUGCGGUUGACUAUUGAGAAAGCGAGGGCUUUCAACCAGGUGGUUCCUGCUUUAGGAAGGGUUGACAAUAUUACGUCAGAAUCUUUUGCUUUGAAAUGCUUAUGAGCCGUAAGUUCUUGUUGGAAAAAUCUUUUCACAUACCAAAAGCCUUGGUAUUUCACCAUCGAACUGCCAUCCCAAUUUGUUUGUUGCUCAAUUGUUUGAAGCAACGACUCUGAAAACUCGUCAUCCUCUUUUGUGUCUUGUUUUUUCUCCAUUUAUACUGUUUUAAUAUAUUUCCAAUGAAUUAUAACUGACCCUCGUCUCUUCUUUUAUAGCAUGGGUUGAUUAUUAAUAUGCAGCAUUAUCAAUAUGAAAAAUAAAAGAAAAGGUUAGGCAUUAUAUUCAUAAUUAAGAUGUUUGGCACUUCUACAACAUACAUUUACAUAGAGAGCUAGGAAAUUAUUAGGAUGUGGAAAGUGGAACAUCUUGCAUUUCUACCUCCAUAUAAUUUUGCCAACCCCUAUUGAUCGUGUGGUUGAUAUUAGAUACACUACAAGAAAAAUGAAUUUUAGUGACAACACAAGUUGUCACAUUAGAUCGUAAAAUUGUCACAAAUGAGAUAUAUUGUCAAUAUAAUGUUGUCACUGCGUUGUCAGUAAUUCUGUGUCGCUAAUGCUCAUUGGUCAUAACUUACAAAAUAUUGUCACUUUAAAUUUUAGAGCACAUUGACCAAAACGAGUACAAACUAGAGCACAUUCUACGAAAUCUACAUGAUUAUGUCGAAUUUGACACCAUAAGGGUGGAGGUGUAAGAAUAUACAUACAAAUAUAUAUAUAUAUAUAUAUAUAUAUAUAUAUAUAUAUAUAUAUAUAUAUAUAUAUAUAUAUAUAUAUAUAUAUAUAUGGUUUUUUCCUGCGGUAAAAAUCCGUUACAAAAAGUACCUUUUGUGACGGACAAUUUGGGAGUCUUAAUAAAUGUUAGGAUUUACUUUUGAUUUUUUGUUUUUGGUAUCGUUGAUUUUUUUUGAAAAGCAACUUCUAACCGCUAACCGCCAUUUAUUCUAAUAAUAUUAUUGUGGUUGACAAUAAUUUUACCGGCAACAAUGUUAUUGUGUUACAAAAUAAUUUGGUUGCGUAACACAAUAAUAAUAUUGUGUUGACCGGUCAAAAAACUACAAAAAUAAAUAUUAUUGUGUUACACAAUAAUAUUAAUAUAUAUUUUUUUUAAUAUUACUGUGUUUGAAAAUAAACAAUAUUAAUUUGUUACACAGUAAUAUAAAUAUAGUUAAUAUUACCACAAUAAUACAAUUAGUAUUAUUGUUAACCACACUAAUAUUAUUGUUUGUACCAAGCCAAAAUGUCAAAGUUCACAUAUAUUUAUUAUAGACUGAAGGUGGGUGUAAGAUUGCAAUUUCACAACAAAACAUUACAAAAUUAAUGUAUUUAUAUUUUGGGGCCUUAAGAUAUAGGUCCCUAGUGACAAAACUUAUUAGAACUAAAUGACAACCUUAACUAAACAUUUGCUACACAUCCUUCAUAAAAUUCAUUCCAAAAAUGCCCUCCCACUCACAAAUUCGAAAUUUACAUUAAUUAAAAUUCAAAUUACAUUUAUUGUUUUUUUAGUCAGCAUUUAAUAUAUUUUAAUUUUUUCAACCAAACAUUUUAAUUUUUUUUUUAUAUAAAACACAUUUAAUAUCCUUUUCUUUUUCUUUCUAUUUCUUCAUUGUAGCAAUUUUUACACAAUUAAAAAUUUAUUUUUUCUCUUCGUAGUAUUGAAGAUUACGAAAAAAAAAAAAUUAAUUCAAUUUACAUAUUUUAAAUAUAUUUUUUUUUUUGAUUUUAUCUGUUGUUAAUACUGUAGUAGACUAUAGUAUACUACUGUCUAGUGUAGCAUACUACGGGGUACAAUAGUAUACUUGUGCUAUAGUAUACUACGGUAUACUAUAGUUUACUACGGUCUACUGUUCUAAACCCUAGCCGCAAAACAACUCUCAGCCGUCGCCAAACCCUAGCCGCCAACAAUUUGCAGCCGCUACCAACUUCUAUCCACCAAACCCUAGCUGCCAACCAAAACCCUAGCACCAUCAAAGAGGCCUAGAUUGAUGCAACCACCUCCCACCGUAGACUAACCUCACACCACCGUCUCCAAUGGCCAUCUGCCGCUAUAACCAUCUGCUCUAAUACAUGACAACCGCUGUGCUCUCAAUCGUCACAAGCCAUAAAUCAACGCUGCAUUACAGAUCUGUAAUUCGUCACGAGCCAUAAAUCACCGCUGCAUUACAAAUAUGUAAUUUUCCGACCGCCAUCCACCAUAGCCACCAUAAUUGAGUGAGCGAGAGAGAGAUAAAGAGAGAGCGAGAGGGAGAGGAAGAGGCGAUUGCCGUUUGCAUAUCUGCAAUUCUCCGACCGCCGUCCACCAUAGCCACCAUAAUUGAAUGAGCGAAAGAGAGAUAGAGAGAGAGCGAGGAGAGGCGGGAAAACAGAGGGGAUAGGCGAGGCGAGAGGCGAGAUACGAGAGAGAAAGAAAAGAAAAUAAAUCUGAUUAGUUGAAGAAACGUGAGAUAUUAUAUUUAGGGUAUAAGGGCAAACUAGGGAUAAAAUAAAAAUUAGGGAUGUGGGUCAUAUAUUAUUUCAAAGUAGGGAUUUAAUUAAAAGAUUGAAUAUAAGAUUGUCAUUUAGUUCAAAUUAGGUUUUAUUCAAGGGACUCUUAGCAUAUUAACCCUUAUAUUUUUGUAUGUUUGACCAGAAACCAUAUGAGGUAUUUGUUACGUUUCAUAAUUGAGGGAUGUGUAUGCGACACAUCUCAUAAUUUAGGGGUGGAAAAUGAACAUUUUCCUAAAAUAUAUUUUCAUUCAUUUCCAACUCGAUAUAUUUAAUAUAAAGUGUGAUACUCUAAAUAUUACUUUAAUUUAAAAACUAAAUAAAUAUUUGGGUAAAAAUCAUUUUGCACCCAUGAAUUAUGCGAAAAGUAUCAUUUAUCUCCCUGAUGUACAGAAAACAUAACAUAUCCCCCCCCCCCCGACCGACCGACUGUUGCAAAGAGCAGUUGGCCUUUUUAUUUUUUUUUUAUAACAAAAAUACCUAAUAAGAUUCUCUGUAUAUAGGUAGGCAGCUUAAUUUUGGCUCUUUUUCAUCAGAUUUUCACUCUUUUUAAUUAGCUUAUUUUUUUUCACUUUAUUUAAUUAUCUUACACUCGUUUCAGCCUUUUUUUUCCUUUGUAUCUGCAUAAAAAAAUUGAAAAAUCAAAUCAAUAAAAAUGAAGCUUUGCAGAUCAUGAAUGCAAAACCUACAAAAAAAAAAAAAAAAAAAAAAAACCUAAAAAGCCAUAAAAUUGAAAUAAUGUGCUCAUACAAGAGGUUUUUUGAAAAUUUUACGAAAACAUUGAGGAUGAUAGAAAUUUCGUACAUUUUGUUUCUUUUACAGAUCGAAGAGAAAGAGAGAAAUCUGAGAGUGAUAGGGCGGGUUGUUUAGAGAGUGAAACAACAUAGAAAAAAUGGGGAUUUUAUGAGACAUAAAGUAGGGUAAAAGAGUCAUUGCACAAUCAAAGUUAACAUUGUUAAAAACUUAAUCAUUGACCGUAAAAAACAGAGAGCGUUUGAUGUUUUCUAUACAUCAGGGGUAAAUAAUACCUUUUGCAUAGUUUAGGGGUGCAAAAUGAAUUUUAUCCUAAAUAUUUUCAACCCAAAUUGCUGGAUAAUUGAAGGUGAAAGAUGGAGAUUAAAUGGGGCAAUUGUGUCAUUUUAGGUCCACUGAUCCACUACCAGACGCACAUCCGGCGAGUGUGCCACACGAAAUUAAAGUACACCAGAGGGUUUUUUGCUAGCUUGUUUUUCACAGAGGGUAUCUUUUACAGUUUACUCUUUUAUUUUGGGGAAAAAUGUUUUGAGAAAAAAAAUAUUUGUGUUGUAGUAGUCAGUAAAGUUGUAGCAGCCAGUAAAGUUGCGGAAAAUAGAGAUCAUGAAUGUUUGAUUCACAUAUUUGAAGUGUAUUAACUCUAUAGUUUCAUUUCAAGUAUGUCAAGAAAGAAGAAACACAAGUCUAAAAGAGAGUUUAUUCAAGUGAGUUUUUUAAAUUCCUUUCUAUUUCGAAUUUUAUUCCCCGUUGCAUAUACUCUUUUUAAUUAUUGCUAGUUUAUUUAUCACAUGGGAGUUUUAGCUAUUUAGAGAUUACGUAGAUGUACUUUUUGCAGUUUAAUCCAAUAUUUGUAGAAUCUUUUGCUCUGAAAUGCUUAUGAGACAUAAGUUCUCGUCGGAAAAAUAUCUUCAAAUACCAAAAGCCUUAGCUUGGUAUUUCACCAUCGGACUGCCGUCCCAAUUUGUUUGUUGCUCAAGUGUUUGAAGCAACGAUUCUGAAAACUGGUCAUCCUCUUUUGUGUAUUGGUUUUUCUCUAUUUAUACUGUUUUAAUUAAUCCAAUGAAUUAUAACUGACCCUCGUCUCUUCUUUUAUAGCAUGGGUUGAUUAUUAAUAUGUAGCAUUAUCUAUAUAAAAAUAAAAGAAAAGGUAUAGGCAUUAUAUUUAUAAUUAAGAUGUUUGGCACUUCUACAACAUACAUGAAAGAAUUUAUGGUCCCGAAUUCGUAUAAUACAGAGAUGUUAUCUAAAAUGUUGUGACACUUGAGACAACAUGCAGCGGAAAUAUAAAGAUUAACAGACAGUACUCAGAAUUAAAAAUGUUCACAAGUAAAGACUUGUGAACUUGUCCUUUACAGGACGAAAAAUAUAUUAAAAUCAGUAUUCCGAGAAUACAAACAGAAGAGGUGCGAAAACUUCUUCCUUAUGAAUGAAUCUUUUUCAAGAUCAUUCUUACAAUCAAAUCUAGAUACUAAAAGAAAAAUAUUAAAAAUUCUAGAUUUCAAAGAUGUACUCGUGAGGAGUACGUAAAAAACUUAUGAAUGAAUCACUAUCUUGAUCAUUCUUACAACCAAGUCUAGAAACAUAUAUACUAAACAAUCUAGACUACAAAGAAUGUACUUAUGAGAAGUACGUAAAGAAUGUACUCAUAAGGAGUACGUAAAGAUUAUACUCAUGAAGAGUACAAACGACCGAUUCUAAAACCACUCUAAAACACUCAUGUUUUCUUUUCAGCUCUCGGUUUUUUUCUUCUUGGAAUCGAUAUCUUCCUUGAGUAUUGAAGUUGGUAUUUAUAGGCAUUCCAAGCAUCCACUCCUCAGCCCAUGAUCUGCAAGAAAACCAACUACAAGAGCACUCAAGAACAUGGGUUAGUGGGUUAGUGGGUUAGUUUAAGGAGUUAGAAUAAUAUUCACAAUUAAACCCACUUAAGCACUACUUAGCCCACUAAGCACUAUACUUAACCCACUAAGCACUAUUUAUUCCAUAACUAAAAUUUAGUUAGAAAAUAAGAAAGUUAAAAACAACAUGUGAAAAUAAUCCACGUAAUUCAAACUCCCCCUUUUUAACUUUCUGAUCAAAACUAAAUUUUAGCUUAACUCCCCCUUAGUCAUUACUUGAACUCCCCCUGAGUCAUUGCUUGAACUCCCCCUGAAUAUGAUAACCAAUAUAGCAAAUAACAAUAAUAGUGCAAUCCUAGCAUAAAAGAUCAGAGGGAACAUAACAAACUGAACAAAAACAAAUAUUGUUCAUAAAAAUAAUCUUUAGAGCAGAAUAUCCAAAGUGUCCUCAGUAUCAGCUGUUGCUCCUCCAUCACUAGCACUGGAUCCACUGCUUUCUUCUUCUCCUUCUUCAUUAACUCCUUGCUUUCUGCCUCUGGCAUCCAAAAGAUGAGAAGUCCCCUGCUUCAGCUUCAUGACUAGCUUUUUCUCCCCCUUUUUGAUCAGAAAGAGUUUUUUCGAAGCAUUUCCACCGUGGACUGGUGAUAGGUAAUCUGAGCUAGAGAAUGAGUAAGCUGUUGUAACAAGAGAUCUCUAGGAACAGAAACAAGAAUGUCAGGGAUGUUGUCAACAUGAGGAGCAACACCUUCAGUACCAAGAUUAUUUUGACCUGAUUCAGUUGAGAGAAAAUUAUCUCCAUUCCAGGGAAGAUCUUGGACAUGAGGAGCUUUGAGAAACUUUUGAGAAACAGUUAUCAUGCCAAGUGGAGUGUGAAGAUAUUAUGAUUCAUCUUGGCCCAAAUUUUGAGAAAACAUAAUGGAGUAGAUGAGAGAAGGAUACGAAAGAUGAGUGGAGGAUGAAAUUUUCUGGGCAAGAUGACCUAAAUUAUUAAAGAAAAGUUUGCCAAAAUCAACUUGUAAUCCCAUCCCCAAUUUGUACAUGAGUACUGCAUGAGGUUUAGUAACCACAGAGACAUUUUUGGAUGGAAUCCAAUUCAUCACUGUGAGUCUGAACAAGACAGAAUAAAAUGCAGUGAGUUGAGAAACUUUGAAUUUUCUGGGGUGAGCAGGCCAACAUUUUAAACGUUUGCCAGAAAGAGUCUUACAAACCUCAGUAAAAUCACCAUAAUUAUCCUCAUCAAUCACAGUAGGAGUUUGUAAAUGAGAGCUGAUAAUUUUGGGCGAAGAAAGAAAAAGAAAAUGGAAUUUCGCACAAAAACUUUGCCAAAGUUUGGAGAAUUUUUCUUUAAAAAAGAGGUUUGUAAAUUGGCAUAAAAUUCAAACUAGACUAAGGAUUUUUCUUUGAUCAAGAAAAUCAGUAAUCCUAUGUCUAUCAAAGUUUAACUCAUCCUUGGAAAUUUUCUUCUCCUCAAUGAAUUGGCAAUUCAUGAUUUGAGGACUCAAAUUUGAAUCAGAUUCAAAAUAAAAGAUAGUACUGAAAGCAUUGUUUACCUCAAAAGGAGUUGACAGAUCCUUCCCAUCCAAGUUCAGCUAUUCUUCCUCAGAAGAUUCCUUUUCUUCUCAGUCUUCAAGUUCAUCUGGGAUGCAUGCUGGCUCAGGUGAUGCAACACGUGGGGCAGCAUCUUCCUGCAUCUGAGAGAAUUCCUCAGACGAGUCACUGUCUGACUCUGAGAAUGGCAAAUUUUUGCGAAAAGUAGCAAGGGGAACUUCCCAGCUGUCAUCACUUUUCUCUGGUUCAUCAGCCCGAGGAGGUGAUGUAUCGACUUGAACAGCUGCUUCUGCAAGAGUUGCCAGAGGGUCUGCAUGUGGUGCUGAUGGUGUUUCUUCAGUGGUAGUGAAAUCCUGAGCAUCAACAGAGGGAAUGUCAACAUGCUCGGCAGAGGACAUCCCUGAAAAAUCAGGCAUUUCUUCUUCCUGGUAGGGAGCAACAUCCUCAGUAGCACUCUGUGAAACAUUGGCUGAGUCAGUGGGUGCAGCAGCAUCUUCAGGAACAUGUGCAGCAACAUCUUCGAAAACCGGAUGUUGUGAAGAGUUAUGCUGAAGUGUCUCCCCCUGAGUUGAUACUCGUGAAGUCGAGUCUUUGGAGGAUGACUCAGUGGAUCUUGAGGAGAGAACUUGGGCUUCUGAUUCUGCAAAGGUAGGAUCUCCUUCUUCAUCAUCCGUUUCUUCAUCAACCAAGUGAAGACCUCUUGGUGGAUUUGGCCUAACUGGAGUACGAACGCCUCUGCCGCCUCUUCUUCCACAUCUGCCGCCUCUGCUGGGAGAAUUUCCUCCCCUUCGACGUUGUGACCCAGUUGCGUUCAGAUCUGGGAAUGGAUUCAUGUGCUUGGACCGGCGAGUUGGAAUCCUUCCUGCAUUGGAAGAGGGACCCACGUUCUGGAAGUUGUCUGGGUCAAUCGGAUUCAUCUCGUCUCUGGGCUCAAUAAAGCUGAUCGGCAUAGCUUCAAGGUUGACAGGAUGAACGAUGAUGACCAGAUUUGGGUCUGCUGGUUCAGGUGCUGCAGCAUCGUUGUGGACAUCACCAGCUGCGGCUGGAAGAGGAUUUCUAGGAGGAGAUACCAUGAUACAGUAGAUAAAAAAUUGCUUCUUGUGCUUUUGAUUUCUGAGUGUGAAUUUUCGAAAAACAAAAACACGAAAUUUAGAAGCCCUAAUUUGCAGAAAACAAAACAUUGCAAGUGGAGAAGGUGACUACGUGUUGUGCGUUUACCUUGGAGAAAGUGUGNNNNNNNNNNNNNNNNNNNNNNNNNNNNNNNNNNNNNNNNNNNNNNNNNNNNNNNNNNNNNNNNNNNNNNNNNNNNNNNNNNNNNNNNNNNNNNNNNNNNNNNNNNNNNNNNNNNNNNNNNNNNNNNNNNNNNNNNNNNNNNNNNNNNNNNNNNNNNNNNNNNNNNNNNNNNNNNNNNNNNNNNNNNNNNNNNNNNNNNNNNNNNNNNNNNNNNNNNNNNNNNNNNNNNNNNNNNNNNNNNNNNNNNNNNNNNNNNNNNNNNNNNNNNNNNNNNNNNNNNNNNNNNNNNNNNNNNNNNNNNNNNNNNNNNNNNNNNNNNNNNNNNNNNNNNNNNNNNNNNNNNNNNNNNNNNNNNNNNNNNNNNNNNNNNNNNNNNNNNNNNNNNNNNNNNNNNNNNNNNNNNNNNNNNNNNNNNNNNNNNNNAGGAGUUUGACUUAUAUGAGUGUAAUUAUUGGCUAAAUGUUUACAUGAAGCAUGAUCACGUGUCAAGGUGAAAGACUUCCAGUUACUGAUUUAGAAAAUAAUACAUCACAGUGAAGUCAUUAUUUAAUGAAGCUAAUGCUUCAGUAAAUUGUGUUGCAGCUUAAGAUAUUUGAUGGGGUGCUGCAACACGUUCCAGGACAUGUUUAUUGAGUACACAUCCCGAGAGAUUUUCUGAGUUUAGAAAACCUCUCAUAAUCUAAUGCCUUCGUAAAGAUGUCAGCCAGCUGAUCUUGUGUAGAAAUGUACUUUAAGCACACUAUAUUUUUCUCAACUAUAUCACGAAUAAAAUGAUGUUUAAUAUCUAUGUGUUUAGUACGUGAGUGUUGAACAUGAUUUUUUGAAAUAUCAAUAGCACUUGAAUUAUCACAAUAUAUGGCCAGGGUGCCACUGGUUAACCCAUAAUCCCCCAACAUUUGUUUCAUCCAAAUUAGUUGACCACAACACCCUCCAGCAGCUACAUAUUCUGAUUCAGCUGUUGAAAGAGAUACACAGUUUUGCUUUCUACUAAACCAAGAAACUAGAUUAUUCCCCAAAAAGAAACAUGCACCUGAAGUGCUUUUUCUGUCACUAAUAUCCCCAGCCCAAUCAGAAUCACUAAAGCCUAUCAAGUUUGUAUUUGUGUCUUUGAAAAACUGAAUCCCUAAGUCUACUGUACCUGCAACAUACCUAAUAAUCCUCUUCACAGCUUUAAGAUGAGUGACCUUGGGAUUAGCUUGAUAUCUGGCACACACACAAACACUAAACAUAAUGUCAGGCCUGCUUGCUGUUAGAUACAGAAGGCUUCCAAUCAUGCUUCUGUAGAGAGUGCUGUCGACAUCUUCUGCAACAUCAUCCUUAGACAGUUUUUGGCUGUAACCCAUUGGAGUUUUCAUGUGCUUGGCAGAUUCCAACUCAAACCUUUUGACCAGAUUGAGAGCAUACUUCUUUUGAUUCACAAACAUUCCUUCACCUGUCUGUUUGAUUUGGAGUCCUAAGAAGUAAUUCAACUCCCCUACCAUACUCAUUUCAAGAGUGUGAGACAUAGAAUCUACAAAAGACUGCAAAAGGUUAGCACAAGUAGAGCCAAAAAUAAUGUCAUCAACAUAUAUCUGAACAAUAAUGAUAUGGUUAUUUGUUCUUCUAACAAAUAGAGUUAUGUCUGCUUCUCCUCUAGUGAAUUGUAUUUCAAGUAAGAAGUCAGUGAGUCUUUGAUACCAAGCUCUAGGAGCUUGUUUAAGACCAUACAGAUCCUUCUUAAGCUUGAGCACAUGAUCAGGUUUGGCAGAAUCUUCAAAACCCUUGGGUUGCUCUACAUAUGCUUCUUCAUUUAAAACCCCAUUUAGAAAUGCACUUUUGAUAUCCAUUUGAUACAGUUUGAUUAUAAGAAAGCAGGCUAUAGCAAGAAGUAACCUCAUAGAUUCAAUUCUAGCUACUUGAGCAAAAGUCUCAUCAAAGUCUAUACCCUCAAUUUGGGUAUAACCUUGUGCUACUAACCUAGCCUUAUUUCUAACCACUGUACCUUUUUCAUCAGUUCUGUUUUUGAAGAUCCACUUAGUUCCUAUCACAUUUACAUGGUUUGGCUUGGGAACUAAGUACCAAACAUCAUUUCUGAUGAACUGAUUCAACUCUUCAUGCAUUGCAUUGACCCAUAAUUCAUCCUUCAGAGCUUCUGCAAUAUUUCUUGGUUCUACUGAAGACACAAAACAAGUGGUUCCAGUUAGUGCACAUUCAGAAGAUAAAUUUGCAAAUCUUACCAUAUCUCUGUAAUUCACUCCCUCUUUUCUUCUGGUUCUUAUUCCAUCAAAGAUAUCUCCCACAACUUGAGUCGAUGGGUGAUUUUUCUGGAUUUUACUUGAUGGUUCCUUUCUGCAGACAUCAUGAGUUGGCUGCAAUUCAGCUUCUGUGCUCUCUGUAGGAAGUAUUGAGUCAGAUGUGGUAACACUUGGCUCAACACCCUCUUCUCUUGAUACUGGACUGUUUAUAUCUGGAGCAUCUGUGGCAGUAGUGUCUCCUCCGGUUGUUUCUCCUUCAGCAAUCAGGUCAUCAACUUCAUCUUCAGCUGUUUUACUGUGGAGAUCAGCAAAAUCAUCAAAUACCACAUUUACAGAUUCAAUAAUGGUUCGAGUUCUUAAGUUAUAUACUCUAUAAGCAUGACUGUUAUUAGAGUAUCCCAUAAAUAAACUCAAAUCACUCUUGGAAUCAAAUUUAGCUAGAUGAUCUCUAUCAUUGAGGACAUAGCAAACACAUCCAAACACAUGCAUGUAUUCUAGAUCAGAUUUUUCUCUUAAAAAAUACACCAAAAUAUAUCUCGAAAAAUCAACAACACACACAAAUACAUAUUUUUUACCACCUAGGCUUUCUACCUUUAUAGGACCCAUAAGAUCCAUAUGUACAUGUUCAAAACAAAUGGUGGUACCAACGGGUUGUAACACUUUGUGUGGUACCCUAGUUUGCUUUCCCAUCUGGCACAUUCCACAUAUAGGAAUGUCAUUGAUCUUGAGAUCAGGAAUUCCUCUUAUGACAUUGUACUUGUUGAGCAGCUUCAGAUUUUUGAGGUUUGUGUGAUCUAGUUUCUGGUGCCACAGCUCUAGUUCACUUACUCUUGAGCUCUUGCUUGAGAUCGUGUCACCUGUUUGAUAACAAUUAUCCAUUGAUAUGGAACCUGUCAGUACACAAUGAUUUUGAUUAUCAAACACACAACAACAGUAUUUAUCAAAUUGAGCCCGUAGAUUAUCAUCACACAAUUGACUAAUACUGAUGAGGUUUGACCCCAAUCCUUCAACAUGUAAGACAUUUGAAAGUUUUGGAAGUCCCUCAAUACUGAGUGUUCCACGUCCAACCACUUUGCCUUUAGCUCCUCCUCCAUAGGUUACACGUCCUCCAUUGAGUGUAUGGUAGUUUGAUAGAAGUUCUUUAGUUCCAGUCAUGUGCCUAGAGAAUCCACUAUCAACGUACCAUGAACCUGAAAUGUUAGCAUUUAAAGAAGUGUAUACUGCUUUGUACAUAAGUUUACCUUUGGGAGUCCAUAUUCUACACUCCUUUUUGGUAAAUUCUACCUUUUUCUUGGAGGUGUUCCCUGGAGUGCUGUGGCUCAUUUUGUACAACAUUUUGUCACUACUGAGUUUUUCACAAAAUGGACGAAUAUGUCCUGGUGAGAAACAAUAAUGACAAAUGCAUCCCCUUAUUCUGGACUCUGAAGUGGUGACUGUGAAAUUCCUGGAUUCCUUGUCAUCUGAACUCUUCUCUUUGACAACGACAACUUCUUUCUUCUUCACUGGCUUCUUCACUUGUUUCUUGAACCCUAGACCUUCCUUUUUGUUGUACUUUUCCAGUGACACAAUAUCUUUGAGUUUAGUUGUGUCGGUAUUCAUCCUCUUGAUUGUUAGAGUCGCUUCUUUGAGUUCAUCUUUCACCUUUGCCAGUUCAAGAUCCUUCUUGGUGAUACCAACCUCCAAAUGAGUGAUUGUUUCUUUGAGAGAAGGAUUUUCCUUGUUGACUGCAUCUAGAGCAUGAGUCUUCUUCUCCAAGUCACUGAACAAUUUCUUGUACAUUUCUUCCUCAUUACUAACUGCUUCAUUACUGGAUUCUGCUGCAUUCAAAGAAAUAGAGUUUAAACAUGUAUAAUGAUCAGUGUUAAAUUCUGAAAUUUCAGUUACUGAAAGUGUUUCAGAAAGUGUUGCAGCAUCCAGAAGAACUCCUUGUGAUUCUGUUUCAGAGGCACUUCCAGUGAGAUAUCUGACAGAAAGGGCUUGUUUAGAGGAUUGUUGUUCCUCUGUCUGUUCAGGUUGCUCUUCCUCCUCAUCACUGACCGCACAAAUCAGACUCAUUCCUCUUCUUCUCAAGGUAUUUGCACAUUCAUUAGCAUAAUGUCCAAAUCCUGAACAUGCCCUGCAUUUAAUAUGAUCCAAGUUAGGUGGUUCAGAAUUUGAACGAAUAAAGGAAGAAUUUUUUAAAUUGUUUUGAGAAGGUGUUUGAGGAAAUGUUCUCUGUGGAAUAGAUCUGUUCCGGGGCUGAGUUUGUCGAUUUUGUGGAGACCCUUCUGAAAAUAACUGCCUGGGCUUGAUUCCACUUCGUCUGUACUCCCUAUUGAAUUUCUGAAUCUGAAAUGCCACAUUGUUGAGGCAUUCUUCUGCAUCAUCAUCAUAUUCCGGAGCAACAUCUUCCUUCUCUAAUUCUGCUUGGAGUGCAUUUGAUAGAUCGUCUUUUGUCCACCGUAAUUCUGGUGUUGGAAAUACAUCCCCAUCCGCAUAUGUGAUAGUUGGUGGCUUCCAUCCAGUAAGAAUAGAUCUCCAAGCUUUCUCAUCAAUGGCUUUGAUGUACGCCCUCAUCUUGACUUUCCAGUAGGUGUAGGUUGUGCCAUCAAGUACAGGAGGUCGCAUAGAAGCAGUCAUCUGAGUAUCCAUCACGAAUUCGUUUCUGUAAAGAAAAUAGGAACAAACACUUAGUAUACGUCAAGUGUUGGCUCUUGAUGCCAAUUGAAAGAAUUUAUGGUCCCGAAUUCGUAUAAUACAGAGAUGUUAUCUAAAAUGUUGUGACACUUGAGACAACAUGCAGCGGAAAUAUAAAGAUUAACAGACAGUACUCAGAAUUAAAAAUGUUCACAAGUAAAGACUUGUGAACUUGUCCUUUACAGGACGAAAAAUAUAUUAAAAUCAGUAUUCCGAGAAUACAAACAGAAGAGGUGCGAAAACUUCUUCCUUAUGAAUGAAUCUUUUUCAAGAUCAUUCUUACAAUCAAAUCUAGAUACUAAAAGAAAAAUAUUAAAAAUUCUAGAUUUCAAAGAUGUACUCGUGAGGAGUACGUAAAAAACUUAUGAAUGAAUCACUAUCUUGAUCAUUCUUACAACCAAGUCUAGAAACAUAUAUACUAAACAAUCUAGACUACAAAGAAUGUACUUAUGAGAAGUACGUAAAGAAUGUACUCAUAAGGAGUACGUAAAGAUUAUACUCAUGAAGAGUACAAACGACCGAUUCUAAAACCACUCUAAAACACUCAUGUUUUCUUUUCAGCUCUCGGUUUUUUUCUUCUUGGAAUCGAUAUCUUCCUUGAGUAUUGAAGUUGGUAUUUAUAGGCAUUCCAAGCAUCCACUCCUCAGCCCAUGAUCUGCAAGAAAACCAACUACAAGAGCACUCAAGAACAUGGGUUAGUGGGUUAGUGGGUUAGUUUAAGGAGUUAGAAUAAUAUUCACAAUUAAACCCACUUAAGCACUACUUAGCCCACUAAGCACUAUACUUAACCCACUAAGCACUAUUUAUUCCAUAACUAAAAUUUAGUUAGAAAAUAAGAAAGUUAAAAACAACAUGUGAAAAUAAUCCACGUAAUUCAAUACAUUUACAUAGUCGCUAGGAAAUUAUGAGGAUGUGGAAAGUGAAACAUCUUGCAUUUCUACCUCUAUAUAAUUUUGCCAACCCCUAUUGAUCGUGUGGUUGAUAUUAGAUAUAUAUACCUAAUUCAAGUUGAAUCCUCUGUAUAAAAAAUGAUGUUUAACUUCAAUUUUACAGAUUAGGGUAUAUAUAUAUAUAUAUAUAUAUAUAUAUAUAUAUAUAUAUAUAUAUAUAUAUAUAUAUAUAUAUAUAUAUAUAUAUAUAUAUAUAUAUAUAUAUAUAUAUAUAUAUAUAUAUAUAUAUAUAUAUAUAUAUAUAUAUAUAUAUAUAUAUAUAUAUAUAUAUAUAUAUAUAGAUAUAUAUAUAUAUAUAUAUAUAUUAUUUAUAAUUUUUAAAUAUAUAUAUAUAUAUAUAUAUAUAUAUAUAUAUAUAUAUAUAUAUAUAUAUAUAUAUAUAUAUAUAUAUAUAUAUAUAUAUAUAUAUAUAUAUUUAAAAUACUAGUAUGGAAAAAAUGGUUUUUUACUGCGGUACAAAACCGUUACAAAACGUACCUUUUACUACGGACAAUCUGGGAGUCGUGAUCAAUGUUAGGAUUUACAUUUAUAUUAUUUUUUUCUGAUUUUUUUGGUAUCGUUGGUUUUUUUUUAAAAGCAAUUUUCCACCGCUAACCGACAUUCAUCGCUGUAAUAUUAUUGUGCUUGACAAUAAUAUUAUUGUCAACAAUAUUAUUGUGUUACAAAAUAAUUUGGUUGCAACAAAUAUUGUGUUGACCGGUCAAAAAAAUAUAAAACAAAUAUUAUUGUCUUAGACAAUAAUAUUAAUAUUUGUUUAAAUAUUACUGUGUUAGAAAAUAAAUAAUAGUAUUAUGUUAGACAAUAGUAUAGUUAAUAUCACCACAAAUAAUACAAUUAGUAUUAGUGUUAACAGCCCGUAUGGGUGUAGCUCAACUCGUUCUGGAGGUGGUAAAUUGGUACAAGGUCCUAGGAUCGAAUCUUGGCAGCCGCAAUGUGGGAAUUUCAACUUCAAUGAGGAUUGAUUCCUUGUGGGCACCAGGUCCAGGUCCGCUACCUUAACAUGCCGUUGAGUUAGCAUGAUUUAUAGUGAGAACAGAUGAAGGGGUAGAGAAAACCGGUGGUAAGGGAGAGGGUGGUGGGUUGGAGAAGGAUGGUGGUGAGGGAGAGAGAGGGGAGGUGGAAGAAGAUGCCAUAUUGACGGAAAAAAAAAUGGUGACUAGGGAUCUGUGGACGUGAGUCCUUUUGUGGCUCUGAUUACCAUGAUAAAACUAGAAAUGUUGAGAGGAUAAAGAUGAAUUCAUUUCUUGAUGUUUUCAGCAUAACAUGUUUACAAGUGUGCCUCUCUUAUAAAGGCCAAAAGAGAAUAAAUUAUGUUACAAAAAUUACAGACUGAAUGUUAAAAUUCACACAUAUUUAUCAUAGACGGUGGGUGUAAGAUUGUAAGUGCACAACAAAACAUUACAAAAUUAAUGUAUUUAUAUUUUUUGUAUAUUUGACCAGAAAAGGUGUAUUUGUUACGUUUCAUAAUUGAGGGAUAUGUAUGCAGCACAUCUCAUAAUUUAGGGGUACAAAGUGAACAUCGUCUUAAAAUAUAUUUUCAUUCAUUUCCAACUCGAUAUAUUUAAUAUAAGAGUAGAAAGUAGAUUGCCACCUAAACUAUGGGCCAUUUCGCACUUUCCCGCCCGAACAAAAUAUUUUUGCACGUUUCUACCUAAACACGUUAAUUCGUUGUACGGUGCCCCCUAAACUGAAGUUUCCGGCAAUUUUGAUUGGAAUGUUAAAACACGUGCGUUACACGUGAUAUUUGCAGGGGUAAAUUCUUCCCUUUCACUUAUGUUCUAUAUAUUAACUAUGAAUUAAUCAUUACUUAUCCGAUGAAAAUUUUGGGGGAUUUCGGUAAAUUUUUUGGGCUUGUUUUGAUCUUAGUGAAACCUUGGGUGUGUCUUUAAUGGCUUGAUUUUGUAGUUGUUCCUGGAAAUUCUUCUCUGCGCCGCCGUGGAAGUGGUGGUAGAAAGCGGAGAUACGGGUAGGGAUGGAGGAGAUUGUGGUGGGUUUCGUCGAUGAAUUUUUUCGACCCAUUUUCAACAUCCGGAAAUCCACUCGUUAGCCCUAAUAGCUCCGUGGAGAUGGUGUCUUUUGAUAUGGGGUUUUUAAAUUCUUUUUUGAAGAACACUCUUAGCCAUUGCAGAGGCCUCUGCCCCCAAGAUUUUGUAGGGGUUGAAUUUGCUGUGGGAAUAAUAUCUUUAGUGUGCGUUUGGGGAAUAUCGAGAUGAUUUAUGAUUAGUUUUGCUUCUUGAAAUUUAUUUUGCGUAGAAAUUGGUGCACAAAGGGCUGUGGAGAUGGAUAGAAGUAGCCAUGAUUCGAACCAUAUUGUUGGGGAAGAAGACAAAAAUGGAAGAGCGAAGAAAAAAUUGGAGUCAGACAAAAAUAAAAGUAAAAAGACAAAUUUGCCCCUCCAAAACUCACGUUAAUGGCACGUGUGUGAGAUCCCGGUGAUAUUUGCCGGAAAAUAGCACUUUUAGGGCACCGUGCAAUAGAAAAACGAGUUUAGGUAAGAACGUGUAAAAAAAAUUGUUUGGGGGGCAAAGUGCAAAAUCGGUCAUUGCUUUAGGGGGCAAACUGUUUUUUACUCUUAAUAUAAAGUGCAAUACUCUAAUAUUACUUUAAUUUAAAAACUAAAUAAAUAUUUGGGUAAAAUUUAUUUUGCACCCAUGAAUUAUGCGAAAAGUAUCAUUUAUUUUGGAGUAAACUACGAAACGUAUCCCUCUGUAAUUUCUAAAUAAUAGAAAACUCUAUGGGAUAAAAAAACUAGCAAAAAAAUCCUGUAAAAUUUUUUAAAUAACACAUUUGACCCAUUGUGGUUUUAAUCAUUGACUGAAAGUAAGAAGACAAAUAUACCCUUCAAUUAAAUAAUACAAAAUAGUGUUCACGUUGAAUUGAAAAAAAAGAAGGCAUAUUGCAAUUUAUGCUUCGAAACUCGAAUAAGGACUUGAUUGCAAUUUCUCCAAAGAACAUUCUCUGUACUACAUGCAUCACCACCACCCAACCUUCAAACAAUUCUUCAGCCCUCCGAGUUUGCUCAAUCACUCUAUUUUUUCAAAUCAAAAGUCAAGCAUGUGAGGAGAAUUCACAUUCGAAGUGCAGUUUGCCCUUUAUUCAAUAACUAAUGAUGAAAGCAACAUAAACACCAAUACCAACUAAUAAAGACACACUUAUUAGAGUCACAUAAUAAAAAGGAGAACAUAAAUCAAAGCACAAAACACACACACACACACACACACACACACACACACACACACAUAUAUAUAUAUAUAUAUAUAUAUAUAUAUAUAUAUAUAUAUAUAUAUAUAUAUAUAUAUAUAUAUUUAUUUUUAUAUAUAUGUAAGGACCAAGUGUCUUGUUUUUAUUAGAUCUUGAAUGUUAAACCAGGUGACCCCUGGAACUUGAUCUCCAUGAGCUUCUUCAUGCGCUCAGCCAUGGCGGGAGUCAAAUAAUUGCUCCAGUCUCCAACUUCUCCCUUCCUAAAGAAUGUACUAUUCUUAAAUAAACCUUUGAUAGAAUAUCCAUUCUUAUCCACAUUCUUCAAACUCUGAAAGCUGCACAUCUUCGAAAUCUCUUCAACCAUGCCUCGUUCUUCUUCCUCCGAUGAAAAAGGACAACCGAGAAAAUCGGCAAUCUUCUUCACAUUGAAAACAAUAUCCUCUUUCAUAUCCUCGUACUUUAGAAACAACACUUUACGAGGAUUCUCCAGAUGGGCAUUCCAGUAGCCAGUCAUAUGAUCCCAAAAGGGCCCGUACGGAUGAGUUCCCUCGCAAGCCAUAUCGAAACUCUCGUCUAAACCAAGUAGGCCCGCAUGAUCUUUCUCAAGCUUGUUUUCGGUUAAGAACAGACGAGCUGAGACGAACAGAUCCAAAGGGUUUCUACACACGUAGAUAAUUUUGCAUGCAGAUUCACGGAUCGAAUAAGCUAGGGCUUUGAAAGGCACGUGGGUCGCAAAGAUUCUUGGAUCAUUGGGUUUAUCUAAUUGAUUAGGCUUAUUUUCUUUAAAUGCGACUAGGAAAGGCACAAGUUUGUGGGGAUUGCAUGUGAGUAGAGGGUUUUGAUCAAUAUCACGAUAAAUAGUACCGCGGUUGACUAUUGAGAAAGCAAGGGCUUUCAACCAGGUGGUUCCUGCUUUAGGAAGGGUUGACAAUAUAACGUCAGAAUCUUUUGCUUUGAAAUGCUUAUAAGACGCAAGUUCUUGUCGGAAAAAUAUUUUCAAAU
rnacentral:lncRNA from 1 species